rnacentral:rRNA from 1 species
UUAAAGUAGUAAUAGUUAUGUUCUUGAAACUUAAAAAAUUUGGCGGUAUUUUAGUCUAUUCAGAGGAACCUGUCCUAUAAUCGAUAAUCCACGUUGGACCUUACUUAAAUUUGUUAAUCAGUUUGUAUACCGUCGUUAUAAGAAUAUUUUAUUAGAAUAAUAAUUUUCUAGAAUUUUUAUAAAAAUUUAUAUCAGAUCAAGGUGCAGCUUAUCUUUAAGAAGAGAUGGGUUACAAUAAAUUUAUUUAAAUGGAUUAAUUUAUGAAAUAAAAUUAUGAAGGUGGAUUUGAAUGUAAAAUUAUAAAGAUAAAUAAUUUGAUUUUAGCUCUAAAAUAUGUACAUAUCGCCCGUCGCUCUUAUUAUUAAGGUAAGAUAAGUCGUAACAUAGUAGAUGUACUGGAAAGUGUAUCUAGAAUGCAAUUUAAAGCUUAAAUAGUAAAGCAUUUCAUUUACAGU